rnacentral:rRNA from 1 species
GUGGGGAAUAUUGGACAAUGGGGGGAACCCUGAUCCAGCCAUGCCGCGUGUGUGAAGAAGGCCUUUUGGUUGUAAAGCACUUUAAGCGAGGAGGAGGCUACCGAGAUUAAUACUCUUGGAUAGUGGACGUUACUCGCAGAAUAAGCACCGGCUAACUCUGUGCCAGCAGCCGCGGUAAUACAGAGGGUGCAAGCGUUAAUCGGAUUUACUGGGCGUAAAGCGCGCGUAGGUGGCCAAUUAAGUCAAAUGUGAAAUCCCCGAGCUUAACUUGGGAAUUGCAUUAGAUACUGGUUGGCUAGAGUAUGGGAGAGGAUGGUAGAAUUCCAGGUGUAGCGGUGAAAUGCGUAGAGAUCUGGAGGAAUACCGAUGGCGAAGGCAGCCAUCUGGCCUAAUACUGACACUGAGGUGCGAAAGCAUGGGGAGCAAACAGGAUUAGAAACCCCAGUAGUCC